UGGCCAGUCUCAGAGUCCAGCAGGAUGA
rnacentral:piRNA from 1 species